AGUGAACGCUGGCGGUAGGCCUAACACAUGCAAGUCGAACGGCAGCACAGUAAGAGUUUGCUCUUAUGGGUGGCGAGUGGCGGACGGGUGUGGAAUACGUCGGAAUCUACUUUUUCUUGGGGGUUAACGUAGGGAAACUUAUGUAAUUCCCUCUUUUGACCUUCGGGUGAAAGGAGGGGAUGUUCGGAGCUUUGGCGGUUUAAUGAGCCGCUGUCGGAUUAGCUGGUUGGCGGGGGAAAGGCCCACCAAGGCGGCGAUGCGUAGCGGGUCUGAGAGGAUGAUCGGCCACACUGGAACUGAGACACGGUCCAGACUCCUACGGGAGGCAGCAGUGGGGAAUAUUGGACAAUGGGGGCAAGCCUGAGCCAGCCAGACCGCGUGAGUGAAGGAGGCCUUCGGGUUGUAAAGCCCUUUUGUUGGGAAAGAAAAGCAGCAGGUUAAGACCCCGCUGUUCUGACGGUACCCAAAGAAUAAGCACCGGCUAACUUCGUG
rnacentral:rRNA from 1 species